rnacentral:rRNA from 1 species
GCCCCAGACUCCUACGGGAGGCAGCAGUGAGGAAUAUUGGUCAAUGGGCUUACGCCUGAACCAGCCAAGUCGCGUGAGGGAAGACUGCCCUAUGGGUUGUAAACCUCUUUUGUCAGGGAGCAACGCCGGCUACGUGUAGCCGGACUGAGAAUACCUGAAGAAAAAGCAUCGGCUAACUCCGUGCCAGCAGCCGCGGUAAUACGGAGGAUGCGAGCGUUAUCCGGAUUUAUUGGGUUUAAAGGGUGCGUAGGCGGAAUGCCAAGUCAGCGGUAAAAUCGCGGGGCUCAACCCCGGGGCUGCCGUUGAAACCGGAGCGCUAGAAUUCCGAUGCCGUCGGAGGAAUGUGUGGUGUAGCGGUGAAAUGCAUAGAUAUCACACAGAACACCGAUUGCGAAGGCAUCUGACGAAUCGGAGAUUGACGCUGAUGCACGAAAGCGUGGGUAUCGAACAGGAUUAGAUACCCCAGUA